UGCAGUAACAUCAUCCGGGAGAGUAAGGCUGAACCUUGGCAAGGACACUGGCUGCCAAAACAAACAGGUCAGCAAUUGUCUGAAACUGUUCUGAAUACUCACUGUCCCUUGUUGGAACAUCAUGGUUGGACACAUGCAACCCGGCGUCAGUUAACAACACCUACUACAUUGGAGACUUGUUUUGAAGAAAGAACAAGAGAGUUAAUAGUGUCUUUUAAUAAAGAGAAUCAUCAUUUAAAAAAAAAAAUCACAAUUGGUGAGACUUCAGAGAUCACCCUAGAGGCUCACAGUAGCCAGUGGCUUACCUUAGUCUCCACAGAAUUUGAACAGGGCGGCCCGCAAGGACUUAGAUGACCAGCCUGAGUGUACUUGAGCAUUGCUCUGGCCUUCGUGUCCUGUCUCCUCCCACUCAUCUGAAAGAGGGAUUUUAAUUAGAAAACAAAGUCCCCCGGAAAAAAAUAGGCAACAGAAAAAUGGAAAUCCUACAGAUCUGAAUCAUCUAUAGAUGCAAUAAUCAGGCACUUGGAAGAGUGAGUUGGUUUUCUUCAUCACUAGGAACAUCUGGAACAAACAGAGGAGUGUUUCAUGGUUGUCAAAUAGCUUUAAACAUCAAUCAUUAAUGUAUGGAGUUAUUUGUAAACAUUUUUCUCUGAUUUUUAAGAGAGGAGUUCGCUUUUAAUAUUCAGACUUCAAGUAAAUUGGUGAAUGUGAACUUUUUUUUUUUUUUUACCAUUACAGGUUUUUUAAAAAAUAUAUUUAACACAAUCCCCAUCAAAGCAAUGAGUACAGGAAGAAGGACUGUUUGUUUAUUUGAAAAUAUGAUUGUAAGUAGAUUGAAUUCCCUCUGAAGGACACCUACUUCAUCUUUGCAUCCCAGCGUUCACCACAGUACCUGACAUUUAGCGGGUGGUUCAAAACCAAAGAGAAAUAUGAUUGUGAGGCAAAUAUUUCUUCAAAAUUGUUUUUUCUGAGCUGGCUGUGUAAAUGAUAGUCCAGAAAUAAAAAGUGCUAAAAAAAAAUCACAGAUUGGAAAAAGUUAAAAACUCAAUAAUUAUAUUUAAUUUUCUACCAUUUAUGAUAUUUAAUUAUAUUUUCUGCAAAUGUAUUUAUAAUGUCUCUGGAGAAACACACAAUAAACUGUUAGUAUUAAUGCUUCCAGGGAGAGAAUGGGGGGACUACAGGUAGAAGGGAGACUUGUUUUAACAGUAUAUUUUUUUUUACUUUUUGAAUUUUUAUCAUGUGUAUGUAAUUCCAUCUUUUCAACUGGUUCUUUAAAAAUCACCAUUUACCCGAGUAGACCAAAGCCUAAAUAAAUUCUGAUCAUUGGCACAAAAUGUUUUUAAUUGGUAGUGCCUCUCCAUUCUAUGGCUUUUUGGUUAGACCUUUUUUAAAGAUUUAUGUUUAGGGAGGCCGUAAGUGUGUUUACUAUAGAGAUGAUUCUAUUCUAUUAGCCUUAUGCUAUCGGAAAAAAUAAUACGGUAGUGACUAUAAUAGUCUAAGCAUGAAUUAGCAAAAGGGUAGAAUCAGGCUGGUGGUAGCAGAAAAAAGAAAGAUGAAUGAGGGAAGCAAAUUUUGAGGCCACUUUAAAAUCAGCAGGGCCCAUGAGCCUCUGAAUUCUGAUUUCCCAAAGCCUUCAUCAUUCUUUCAUGCUCUGAAAAAGUACAUAAUCUCUGAGGAGUUUGGAUCUCACAAGAUGGAACCCAAAUCUAACUAAAGACCUCAGUUGUGUGAAGAAAACUACUCAUAAAACUUGCAAAUGUACCAUUCAAUGAGAAUUCUCUCUCCUGCUGGCCUAUAUAUAACUUAUUUUUUAGACUGGAAAAUUUCAAAGAUAUAAAAAGAUAAGACGUAUAAAGAGCCUCCAUGUACUUAUCACCACUUCCCCUCUCCCGGGACUAUUUCGAAG
rnacentral:lncRNA from 1 species